CCUACGGGGGGCAGCAGUGAGGAAUAUUGGUCAAUGGCCGGGAGGCUGAACCAGCCAAGUCGCGUGAGGGAAGACGGCCCUACGGGUUGUAAACCUCUUUUGUCAGGGAGCAAGGUGCAGGUCGGGACCUGCUGUGAGAGUACCUGAAGAAAAAGCAUCGGCUAACUCCGUGCCAGCAGCCGCGGUAAUAAGGAGGAUGCGAGCGUUAUCCGGAUUUAUUGGGUUUAAAGGGUGCGCAGGCGGAGGCACAAGUCAGCGGUAAAAUCGCGGGGCUCAACCCCGCUCCGCCGUUGAAACUGUGUCCCUUGAGUGCGCGAAGGGUAGGCGGAAUGCGUGGUGUAGCGGUGAAAUGCUUAGAUAUCACGAAGAACCCCGAUUGCGAAGGCAGCCUGCCGCAGCGUUACUGACGCUGAAGCUCGAAAGCGCGGGUAUCGAACAGGAUUAGAUACCCCAGUAGUC
rnacentral:rRNA from 1 species